rnacentral:lncRNA from 1 species
AAUCCAUUGAAACAAAUAAAUCCAUCUUGUUUUUGUUGAAAAAGGCUUAUUUGUGGUGAAAGAAACAUAUACAAUUGUAAAUAGUUUCUUUUUUCUUUUCAUUUAUUUUGAAGCUUGUUCUUGCAUAGCAUGCAACUAGCAGCCUCGUUAGCCAACAACAAAAAAAAAUACAAACUCAGAUCUUGUUUUCAUAGGUCUAUCAUUGUGCUUGGAGGAACUUAAUGGUUGUUGGUUGGACACAAUUGAAAAACAAAACAGAGGGAGAUGAAGCUGUGACGUGAAUUCUUCAUACCCUUGUGAAGUGGAGAUUUAAACAUUUAGGGGAUCAAAAGGAUGUAGAAGCUAGGUAUGUGCUUGAAGCUAGUAAUGCUAUUGAGGUUAAGCAAGUGCAAAGCCAUCAACAGUUAUUGCUUCUUAAGGGAGUAGGAAUUCUUUUUUUUUCCCCCUAAAGCAAUCAAUGUUGCAGUGGGUGACUUUGCAUGGUGGGGCCUUCUCCUAGUUUUUGAGAGCAUGAUAUUUUGGGUAAUGAAGAUGCUUUGCUUAUUCUUUUGUUUUUUAUUAAAAUAUGACAAGUUCUAAGUACCUAACUAUAAUACACACACACAC